rnacentral:lncRNA from 1 species
UAGGGCUCAGGCUGUGAGAAACAUCCUGCCGGGCAAGUCCUAAGCCCAACCGCCUGAUCUCAGGAAAUUCCUCACUUAGCAACAGCUAACCACCCUGCCCACCCCACUUCACAACAAGCCCAGAUCUCUCCCACCCGGACCUAAACUUACCCAGUCUGUAAGCGGGGGCGGGCUCUGGCCUUAGUUGGUGUCCCCCUCCGCGGGUGUUUGUUCGGUAAACCUGUGUUGCUGUAGAGCCGCCUCCGUCCGUUUUUCCUCCCGUUCCUGCGCUAACAAUGACAUUAUACCAAAUGUAACUGAUAUACUAAUACAUGCUGCUGUAAUAAGGAGUCCUCAUUUAAGUUACUGUGUCCAAAAUGAGUUUCCAGUGGUCCUCCAUCUUGAUACAUGCUCCAGUAUCACUUAUACAGAAAGGGUGGACAUGCAUGCAUCUACAUCUUAAUUACAAUUAAGAAAUAUCUUCCUGGCCGCAUGCAGUGGCUCAUGCCUGUAAUCCCAGCACUUUGGGAGACCGAGGUGGGUGGGUCACGAGGUCAAGAGUUCAA